rnacentral:misc_RNA from 1 species
AACGCACAUUGCGCCCUCUGGUAUUCCGGGGGGCAUGCCUGUUCGAGCGUCAUUACAACCCUCAAGCUCUGCUUGGUAUUGGGUGCCACCCCCUGUGGUGCACCUUAAAGUCAGUGGCGGUGCCAUCUAGCUUCUAGCGUAGUAAUACUUCUCGCUUUGGAGUUAGGUGUUUGCUUUUGCCAGCAACCCCUAUUUUUAAAGGUUGACCUCGGAUCAGGUAGGGAUACCCGCUGAACUUAA